GACGAAUGCGCGGAAUCCUCCGCCGCGCCGCGACAUCCAUGAUUAUCCGGCGUGCCGCGGUUUUAUCGUCACAAACGCGAGUUUCUCCUUCGGUCAACGAACGAGUCACCCGGUAUUAUGGAGCCUAAAUCUCUGGCAACGAGCGAAGCAAAUUAUUCGGAAUUCUCCGACCGAAGAUGCCUGCCAAGAUAUACGUCGUGGCCGUUUCGCUGGCCUGUCUCCGUGGUCAAUCCGAUAAAUGCAUUUACGGUCGCAUUGUGCGAUAACAUACUACGCAUACUGCAUGCGGCUCUGACUGGGGGAAAAAGAGCUCGUGAUUCAACCACCGAAGCACCAGAGGCAAGAUGAAAGCUUUCGACGACGUGACUUUUGUACUCUAUGGCCUUUCUGAAUAUACGGGUAUGUCCAAGUUGCCUUCUAAAAGGGGAUGUAAGAGCUGGAUAUUAAAAUAUUCAAAUAAAAUGACAAGGCUCUGUUUCAAACGAGGCACAUAUUUUGCUCGGUGCUCCCAACUUCCAACACGUUUCGUCACGAAUCGAGAAUUGUCACGUGCUCCGUGAAAGAAGAUUACCCCACUCGAAGAACGAGUUUCAUCCAGCAAGUGUAACGGAUGCGAAUACAUUGACCACAUUUCCUUUCAUCAAAAGUGUCACGUACAUGUACUGAUAAAAACUUCGUGCACUUCGUGUUCUUCGUACUCUUCAUAUUUUCGGGCAUUAACAGCGGAAAUGUAGAAUGAUAUACAGAAACAUUUAAAUAUUAAUCCUGUUUCAUUAAAGUUUCAUAUAACAAAUAAUUCGUCAUUAUAGAAUUCGAAAAGGAAUAUUUUAGAACUUGAAGAAUUUAUAAAC